rnacentral:rRNA from 1 species
AAAACGGGUGGUAAUGCCGGAUGCUCCGACUCCUCGCAUGGGGUGUCGGGAAAGAUUUCAUCGGUAUGGGAUGGGGUCGCGUCCUAUCAGGUAGUCGGCGGGGUAACGGCCCACCGAGCCUACGACGGGUAGCCGGCCUGAGAGGGCGACCGGCCACAUUGGGACUGAGAUACGGCCCAGACUCCUACGGGAGGCAGCAGUGGGGAAUAUUGCACAAUGGGCGCAAGCCUGAUGCAGCGACGCCGCGUGCGGGAUGACGGCCUUCGGGUUGUAAACCGCUUUUGAUCGGGAGCAAGCCUUCGGGUGAGUGUACCUUUCGAAUAAGCACCGGCUAACUACGUGCCAGCAGCCGCGGUAAUACGUAGGGUGCAAGCGUUAUCCGGAAUUAUUGGGCGUAAAGGGCUCGUAGGCGGUUCGUCGCGUCCGGUGUGAAAGUCCAUCGCUUAACGGUGGAUCUGCGCCGGGUACGGGCGGGCUGGAGUGCGGUAGGGGAGACUGGAAUUCCCGGUGUAACGGUGGAAUGUGUAGAUAUCGGGA